rnacentral:rRNA from 1 species
GACGGAGGUGGCUAGCGUUACUCGGAUUCAUUGGGUGUAAAGGGCAUGUAGGCGGUAUUGUAAGUCAAAUGUGAAAUCCUCUGGCUUAACCAGAGAACUGCAUUUGAAACUGCUAUACUUGAGUUCGGGAGGGGAGAGUGGAAUUCCCGGUGUAAGGGUGAAAUCUGUAGAUAUCGGGAGGAACACCUGUGGCGAAGGCGACUCUCUGGACCGAAACUGACGCUGAUAUGCGAAAGCUAGGGGAGCAAACAGG